rnacentral:antisense_RNA from 1 species
GUCUUAGAGCCCGUGUGGACCCGGAUGGCGAUGGCAGCCCGAGGAGAGGGAGGGCUGACUGUAUGGUUGGCUUUCCAACGACCAGACCCUGCAGGAUUCGGCUUUUCCCUUUAGAGUUUUCCUCCAUCCCCCUCCGUCCCUCCCAGGGGAUGCCCGCAGGCCACAGUGGUCACUGAAGGUCAACCCUGAGCCGAAGAAGUGGCCUCGACCCUGGGGACCCCUUCAGAAGUCUACCUGUGCCUGCGCCCGCCGGGCCUGCCGGCCUCUUCCUUCUCAUCCAGGGGGCCUCUUCUCCAGCCUCACGGAGGUGGGAAGCUUGCUGGAGGCCCCUACCUGCCUUUUGGGGAAGACCCCGAGGCUGGCCCACGCCCUGCUGGCAGGACCCUUCCUGACUGGGUCCACCGUUCUUCUGGGUCUCACCACUUCUCCCAGCCCCUGGGCUGCUUCCUCUCUCCCGUGUCUGGGACCCCAGAGGCACCACUACCAUUCCAUACAAGCUUGCAGAGUCAAGACGAACUCUAACUCAUGGGAUGGACAAACUGGAAGAUGUAAAAU